rnacentral:tRNA from 1 species
GAAAUGUAAAGCCAAUAUAAACAGCUGCUAUUUUUUUAUAUUAGCGGUUAAAAACUUCUAAUAUUUUU